UAUACAACCCCUUAGUGAAAAGAUUUUAGUUAGAAGGGAUGUAAUAUUUAAUGAAAACAUGAGUUGGGAUUGGAGUAAAGAACAGGAGCAGCAAAAGAUUACAAUUGAAGUUUCUUCAAAUGAAGAGACAAGGGUCAACUCCAGUGCAUCUCCUAGUGUCUCCACUGCAACACAAAAUGUGUCAAAUUCAUCAUCUUCAACAUCACUAAACAGCAAUUCUUCUCUUGAAGAACUUUUAGAUGAGACACCUCCAAGGAA